GGCCGCUGCGGCAGGGGGAGGCGGGAGGCGGGCGCGCUGGCUCCCAUGCUGGCUUCGGUGCCACUCGCUCGUCGGCCGCGCUGCGGGCUUCUCUUUUCCCUCCGACGAGCCGCAGCUGCCCAGACAUUCCGGCUGCCGGGUCUGGAGAGCUCCCCGAACCCCUCCGCGGAGAGGAGCGAGGCGGCGCCAGGGUGGCCCCCGGGGCGCUCUUGGUCUCGGAGAAGCGGGGACGAGGCCGGAGGAUGAGCGGCUGAGGGAGACGCGGGCACUGACGCGAGUUGGGGCCGUAACCACCGGCAGCUGGCAGCGCGAUGAGCGAGUCCCCAGAGACGCCCUAGCCCGGUGCGCGCGCCGGGCGGAGUGCGCAGGUGGGGCUGGGCUCUCAGCGGUCCGCCCCGCGCGGGUCCCCGGCCGGCCCAGGAUGGGUGCUGGUAAACCGGGCCCGCGCCCGCCGCUGCUACCCCUGCGCCCGCCGCGAGCCCAGCGUCCGGCCCGCGCCCUGCGCUCAUGGACGGCGGCUCCCGGCUGGCGGCGGCGCGCCCCCGGGCUGUGAAUGCGACUCGCCCCUCGGCCGCGCUCCCCGCCCGCCCGCCCGCCGGGACGUGGUAGGGGAUGCCCAGCUCCACUGCGAUGGCAGUUGGCGCGCUCUCCAGUUCCCUCCUGGUCACCUGCUGCCUGAUGGUGGCUCUGUGCAGUCCGAGCAUCCCGCUGGAGAAGCUGGCCCAGGCACCAGAGCAGCCGGGCCAGGAGAAGCGUGAGCACGCCUCUCGGGACGGCCCGGGGCGGGUGAACGAGCUCGGGCGCCCGGCGAGGGACGAGGGCGGCAGCGGCCGGGACUGGAAGAGCAAGAGCGGCCGUGGGCUCGCCGGCCGUGAGCCGUGGAGCAAGCUGAAGCAGGCCUGGGUCUCCCAGGACGGGGGCGCCAAGGCCGGGGAUCUGCAGGUCCGGCCCCGCGGGGACACCCCGCAGGGGGAAGCCCUGGCCGCAGCCGCCCAGGACGCGAUCGGCCCGGAACUCGCGCCCACGCCCGAGCCACCCGAGGAGUACGUGUACCCGGACUACCGUGGCAAGGGCUGCGUGGACGAGAGCGGCUUCGUGUACGCGAUCGGGGAGAAGUUCGCACCGGGCCCCUCGGCCUGCCCGUGCCUGUGCACUGAGGAGGGGCCGCUGUGCGCGCAGCCCGAGUGUCCGAGGCUGCACCCGCGCUGCAUCCACGUCGACACGAGCCAGUGCUGCCCGCAGUGCAAGGAGAGGAAGAACUACUGCGAGUUCCGGGGCAAGACCUAUCAGACUUUGGAGGAGUUCGUGGUGUCUCCAUGUGAGAGGUGUCGCUGUGAAGCCAACGGUGAGGUGCUGUGCACAGUGUCAGCGUGUCCCCAGACGGAGUGUGUGGACCCUGUGUAUGAGCCUGAUCAGUGCUGUCCCAUCUGCAAAAAUGGUCCAAACUGCUUUGCAGAAACUGCGGUGAUCCCUGCUGGCAGAGAAGUGAAGACUGAUGAGUGCACCAUAUGCCACUGUACUUAUGAGGAAGGCACAUGGAGAAUCGAGCGGCAGGCCAUGUGCACGAGACAUGAAUGCAGGCAAAUGUAGACGCUUCCCAGAACACAAACUCUGACUUUUUCUAGAACAUUUUACUGAUGUGAACAUUCUAGAUGACUCUGAGAAAUAUCAGUCAAAGGAGAACACUUUUGAUGAGGAAUACUGGAAAAUUGUUGGUACUUUUCCUUUUCUUGAUAACAGUUACUACAACAGAAGGAAAUGGAUAUAUUUCAAAACAUCAACAAGAACUUUGGGCAUAAAAUCCCUCUCUAAAUAAAUGUGCUAUUUUCACAAUGGAGAACACUGUGCUUAGUGUUGAAGAUACCAAAGGGAACUCAAGUGAGGGGAAAAGAGGAGAGCAAACUGAUCAAAAGGGAAUGCCCAUGAUGCUUUCAGGAAACCAGGGUGAGAACAUGCUGGCUGGAGGAUGGGUCUGGUUUCCAGCAGAGAUGAUAGGAGUUAAAAGGCAUAGAUGGACACUGCUGUACCCUGAAGUAGCAUCUAUAAUAUAAUAUCCCACGGAAUUGACUGUGAUAAUACAUUUCUGCUUUGUCAUUUCUAAAAGUAAAUGUAAUGAUUAUGAAACCACAUAUAGAGAAAUAUGGACUAACAGCUGCUAUUGCACUGAAGGCAAUGAAUUCCAUCACGGGGGUUAUAUGAUCCAGGGCUGCAGAUCACUGUGAAAAAAGAGUAAGUUAAUAAGUAGUAUUUUCCUAAUACACAUAAUAUAAAAUUUCCAAUCUCAAUUCUUUUAAGUGUAUAGUUCAGUAGUAUUAAGCAUAUUCACAUUGUCGUGCAACAAAUCUACAGAACUUUUUCAUCUUGCAAAACCACAACUCUAUACCCAUUUCCCUGUUUCCCCAGCUGUUGGCAACCACCAUUCUACCUUUGGUUUCUAUGAGUUUCACUAAUCUACAUACCUCAUGUAAGUGGAAUCAUAUACUGAAAGUUUUAACUAUUUACUCUGAGAUUCCUGUAAGGAGCAUGCAACCUG